CUUGGCGAACUCCGAUAGAUUCGCUUGCGCAAGGGAUUGUGCGUCAGCUUGCAUGGAAGUGAGUGUUUACGGGCAGGAACACAGCAGUGUUGGAGUGAGUGGGUGGCGGCCUCGGCAGCACCUGUGGCACGUACUGUAACUGUACUCUAUGUUUCCGCUACAUGGAAGUGUCGGGGUCAGGACUCGGACUUGGACACAGGACGCAAAUGAACGUGGCUACGUUGACUCGAUGAUUCCUCUCAAGGAGAGGUUCGUCUGCAGAACGUGUAGCUCCGCGCAGUGGAAGGCUGAGAGCUAUGCCUAGUCGGCUCCGCCAGACCUGAACACACCCGACGCCCAAGGAGAGAACUAAGGGAAGGAGAGGAGAGGGGAGGAGAGGAGAGUAGAGGAGAGAAGAGCGCGUUUUACGCAAACAGCG
ensembl:lncRNA